rnacentral:rRNA from 1 species
AGUGAGCGCUGGCGGUAGGCCUAACACAUGCAAGUCGAACGGCAGCACAGUAAGAGCUUGCUCUUACGGGUGGCGAGUGGCGGACGGGUGAGGAAUACAUCGGAAUCUACUUUUUCGUGGGGGAUAACGUAGGGAAACUUACGCUAAUACCGCAUACGACCUACGGGUGAAAGCAGGGGAUCUUCGGACCUUGCGCGAUUGAAUGAGCCGAUGUCGGAUUAGCUAGUUGGCGGGGUAAAGGCCCACCAAGGCGACGAUCCGUAGCUGGUCUGAGAGGAUGAUCAGCCACACUGGAACUGAGACACGGUCCAGACUCCUACGGGAGGCAGCAGUGGGGAAUAUUGGACAAUGGGCGCAAGCCUGAUCCAGCCAUACCGCGUGGGUGAAGAAGGCCUUCGGGUUGUAAAGCCCUCUUGUUGGGAAAGAAAAGCAGCAGGUUAAUACCCCGCUGUUCUGACGGUACCCAAAGAAUAAGCACCGGCUAACUUCGUG